UACAGAGGGUGCAAGCGUUGUUCGGAAUUAUUGGGCGUAAAGCGCGUGUAGGCGGUUUUGUAAGUCGGGUGUGAAAGCCCUCAGCUCAACUGAGGAAGUGCGCCCGAAACUGCUUAACUUGAGUGCCAGAGAGGGUAGUGGAAUUCCGCAAGUAGAGGUGAAAUUCGUAGAGAUGCGGAGGAACACCGGUGGCGAAGGCGGCUACCUGGCUGGUAACUGACGCUGAGACGCGAAAGCGUGGGGAGCAAACAGG
rnacentral:rRNA from 1 species